UUUCCGUAGGUGAACCCGCGGAAGGAUCAUUCAUAAUAAAGUGUUUUAUGGCACUUUUUAAAAAUCCAUAUCCACCUUGUGUGCAAUGUUAGAUCUCGUCAAUCUUGGCGAGAUUUUUAUACAUCAACUCAUUCUUUAACUAAUUUGUCUGAAAAAUAUUAUGAGUACUUAAUUCAAAAUACAACUUUCAACAACGGAUCUCUUGGCUCUC
rnacentral:misc_RNA from 1 species